rnacentral:lncRNA from 1 species
GCUUGAACAACGGAUAACAGAACUUUAUGCAGCACUUGCACCUCGCUCUUAUAGUAUAACAUUCUUCUUAUGGUCAGGGGUAGCGAGACCUGAAAGAAGCGUUAAAGAAUCGAAGGGAAAAAAGAACAAGAAGUGCAGCUAUCUCCGCCUCACAGCAUCAGUUUACCGCACAAUAUUUGCGGUUCACUUCGUCACACUCUCGAUUAACAGAAGGGGGAUAUGGUUCAACCCCGGUCUACAGGCUCUCGAUCUUUAUCUACAGGGUGCUUUUAACUCUCCCUUUCCCCCCUUUCUUUUGAAUGCCAGGGAUGGAAAAGCAAAGAUCAUAUCUUGAUGCGUGUACCGUACUGCUAUCCAAACGAAGAUUAAUUACCUACCGACCAUGUUCGUUCUCUGUGUUGGGCGGCUUUACGCUAUCGAUAGAGGAAGUUGAUAUGCGAGAUGGACAAAGUCGGCUUCAUCUAAUGCUUGCUCUCAUCUUGCGAAGAAUGUUUUUAGUCCUUUUCCCUGUCUGUCUACUGAAAAUGGCUUAGGAAUAGGUCCCUGCCUAGUGGUUUUGGAAUAGAUCAAUCCCUGCUUUGGCUGUCUCCUUCCAUUCUUAUCUUACAUGUGCAUUUCUGAUUCAAUUGCAUAAGCCCUAGUUUCGACUGACGCAGCAAUCCUUCCCUCACAUCGGAUUCACUUGUCCCACCCUCGCUUCCUCCUUGUACUAGAUUUUUCCAAGAAUUCCCCCUGAAAGCGAGAACGCACUAUAUGCCUUUAAAAUAAAAAGAAGGCUGGAAAAAAGAGAGAGCUCCUUUCUUUUCUAGCUUUGGCGGGAGGAAUGAAAAUCCUAUCCUAUACGAAGGCCUAUAUACAAAAAAAGCACUUUGCCUAGAAUCCCAAGUUGCCUCCCCGGCCGAUCGCAUC